GACAACCAGAGAUAUUGUACUGGGACCUUCCUCCUCUUUCUACCCUGGUGCAGUUAACCUGCCCUUUGCUGUCCUCCUGGAUUUCAUACUGCAAGCACGCCAAGCUCGUCAGCCUAUUUCUUUGGAAAAAAGAUUUCCUUUGAAGCCCUUCCAAAGGUGCUGAUGUCACUGGAAGCCUUACUUUCCCUGAGGGGCUUUGGAUCAGGUCUUUAAUGUGUAUUUGUUUCACCACGGCAACACAAACCAGUCAUGGAAACAAACCUACUGGUCAUGGAAAACCAAUGGAUGCUAUUCGGAAACUGCUUGUCCCUCAAAAUGGCUGUAGACUCCGUAUCCAGACAGUCUUUGGCAGUGAUUUCUGGAGUUUUCAGUGCAUACAGGAGUGAGAAGGACCAGUGGUGCUCUCGUCUGCUCAGGCACUUGAGCAUCUCUCUGUGGUUUCAGGGAAGGGAGAGAUGCAACAGAAAGGUAUCCACUCCAGAAUGGAGAGAGAAAAGAAAGUCUGAGCAGCCGUGCAGUGACGCUAAGGUCGCUGCAAACCCAGAACAACCAGCUCGAGAAGCACAGAGGUCCUGAAGUUUCUCAGAGAUUAAAACCUGGGUGCACCAAGGCCUGGGCCACCUCUGUAAGGGCUGCCCCUAGGACAGCGAUGAGGCCAGCCCGGUGCUGUUGUGCUCAUCGCCAGCCUGGCAGGGCUCUUUGUGCUGCUGGGAGUGGGCAUCUGGUCCCCCACUCUCCACCCAAGCAGGAUUAUGGCACGUACAACUGAUGUCACUCUAGUGAGGAGAUCCUAGUAAAGGAUAUAGCUUUAAAAAUAGGAUGAAAAGGAUAUAAAAUAAGUAAAUAAAUGCAACAGAUAUGAGAUAAAAAUGCA
rnacentral:lncRNA from 1 species